ACCGGCGCACGGGUGAGUAACACGUAUGAAACCUGCCCGUAGCAGGGGGAUAAGCGGAAGAAAUUCCGUCUAAUACCGCGUAACAACCCAUGGAGGCAUCUCUGUGGGUUUAAAGGAAGCGAUUCCGGCUACGGAUGGUCAUGCGUCGCAUUAGCUUGUUGGCGGGGUAACGGCCCACCAAGGCGACGAUGCGUAGGGGUUCUGAGAGGAAGGUCCCCCACACUGGUACUGAGACACGGACCAGACUCCUACGGAAGGCAGCAG
rnacentral:rRNA from 1 species